rnacentral:rRNA from 1 species
AGCAGCCGCGGUAAUUCCAGCUCCAAUAGCGUAUAUUAAAGUUGUUGCAGUUAAAAAGCUCGUAGUUGAAUUUCGGGAUUUAUCCGUCGGUCGGGCUUUUGGGUCUGUACUGGCGUGAUGAAUUCCUACCUUCUGAAUAACCGGCAUGUCAUUAAUUUGGUGCGCUGGGGAAGCAGGACUGUUACCUUGAAAAAAUUGAGUGCUUAAAGCAGGCUAUUGCCUGAAUACAUUAGCAUGGAAUAAUGAAAUAGGACGGCAUGGUUCUAUUUUGUUGGUUUCUAGGAUCACCGUAAUGAUUAAUAGGGAUAGUUGGGGGCAUUAGUAUUCAAUUGUCAGAGGUGAAAUUCUUGGAUUUAUUGAAGACUAACUUCUGCGAAAGCAUUUGCCAAGGAUGUUUUCAUUAAUCAAGAACGAAAGUUAGGGGAUCGAAGACGAUCAGAUACCGUGUAGUCUAACAUAAACUAUG